GCGCACCAGGCGCGAAUCCUUCGCAAUGCGGGAAACCGCGACGAGGGGACUCCCAGUGCCUACGCUCAGCGUAGGCUGUUCCCGAGCCUAGAAAGCUCGGGGAGUAAGGGCUGGGUAAGACGGGUGCCAGCCGCCGCGGUAAUACCCGCAGCCCGAGUGGUGGCCACUAUUAUUGGGCCUAAAGCGUCCGUAGCCGGCCCGGUAAAUGCCUGGGUAAAUCGUGAGGCCUAACCUCACGAAUUCCGGGUAGACUGCCGGGCUAGGGACCGGAGGAGGGAGAGGGGUACUCCAGGGGUAGGGGUGAAAUCCUGUAAUCCCUGGAGGACCACCGGUGGCGAAGGCGCUCUCCUAGGACGGGUCCGACGGUGAGGGACGAAAGCCAGGGGAGCGAACCGGAUUAGAUACCCGCGUAGU
rnacentral:rRNA from 1 species